rnacentral:misc_RNA from 1 species
AUGAAGGAUAAGAAGAACAAGUAUUACUAUAUUCCGGAUAAUUUCAAAUCAGUUGAUCAGGUAACUUUAGCUCUGAGAGAAUCAGGGUUGGAGUCAUCAAAUUUGAUUAUUGGGAUUGAUUUCACGAAAAGUAACGAAUGGACAGGUAAAGUUUCGUUCAACAACAAGAGCUUGCAUGCUAUAGGCAACUCAGUCAAUCCAUAUGAGAAAGCCAUAUCUAUCAUCGGAAAGACAUUGUCUCCAUUUGAUGAAGACAAUUUAAUUCCUUGUUUUGGGUUUGGUGAUGGUACGUUCCAUUCCUAAAGUUUCUGUGU